rnacentral:rRNA from 2 species
UAAUACAUGCAAGUCGAACGAGUUCUGAUUAUUGAAAGGUGCUUGCAUCUUGAUUUAAUUUUGAACGAGUGGCGGACGGGUGAGUAACACGUGGGUAACCUGCCCUUAAGUGGGGGAUAACAUUUGGAAACAGAUGCUAAUACCGCAUAAAUCCAAGAACCGCAUGGUUCUUGGCUGAAAGAUGGCGUAAGCUAUCGCUUUUGGAUGGACCCGCGGCGUAUUAGCUAGUUGGUGAGGUAACGGCUCACCAAGGCAAUGAUACGUAGCCGAACUGAGAGGUUGAUCGGCCACAUUGGGACUGAGACACGGCCCAAACUCCUACGGGAGGCAGCAGUAGGGAAUCUUCCACAAUGGACGCAAGUCUGAUGGAGCAACGCCGCGUGAGUGAAGAAGGCUUUCGGGUCGUAAAACUCUGUUGUUGGAGAAGAAUGGUCGGCAGAGUAACUGUUGUCGGCGUGACGGUAUCCAACCAGAAAGCCACGGCUAACUACGUGCCAGCAGCCGCGGUAAUA